GUUUACGACUGGUUUAUAAAUCAUGUUACCUACACAGACCUCAUUAGUUAGGACAAGGUUUAUGACUGGUUUAUAAAUCAUGUUAUCCACACAGACCUCAUUAGUUAGGACAAGGUUUACGACUGGUUUAUAAAACAUGUUACCUACACAGACCUCAUUAGUUAGGACAAGGUUUACGACUGGGUUAUAAAUCAUGUUAUCCACACAGACCUCAUUAGUUAGGACAAGGUUUACGACUGGUUUAUAAAUCAUGUUACCUACACAGACCUCAUUAGUUAGGACAAGGUUUAUGACUGGUUUAUAAAUCAUGUUAUCCACACAGACCUCAUUAGUUAGGACAAGGUUUACGACUGGUUUAUAAGUCAUCUUACCUACACAGACCUCAUUAGUUAGGACAAGGUUUACGAAUGGUUUAUAAGUCAUGUUAUCUACACAGACAUCAUUAGGACAGGGUUUACGACUGGUUUAUAAAUCAUGUUAUCUACACAGACAUUAGUUAGGACAAGGUUUACGACUGGUUUAUAAAUCAUGUUAUCUACACAGACAUCAUUAGUUAGGACAAGGUUUACGAAUGGUUUAUAAGUCAUGUUAUCUACACAGACAUUAGUUAGGACAAGGUUUACGACUGGUUUAUA
ensembl:lncRNA